ACAGAUUGCUAGUGCUUUUAUGUGCUGAGCCUUUCCCUUCAACCUGGACUGAAAGAGGAUGGCAAUCUCGCUGAAGCUGUUUCUUUUUCUUCACAACAUAUAGGAAAGUGUUGCCCCUUUUUGGAGUGGUGCAUAGGACGAUGACUAUAGAUUUUCAUCUGUAACUCCUAAAAACUUACUCAGAAAGUAACAACCUCCACCAACACUACUUGAAUCAGUACUGAACGAAUGUCAGGUCCUUGGGAAAUUCUCCAAUCCUGUCUCCUGUCCUGGCCGGGUGUGCUCCUGGUGCACCAUUCGACUAAGUCAAUUUGAACUAUUUGGGAGACCUUUGUACCUACGUUUCCUUCUGCUUGGAAGAUCCUUUCUGUUUUGUCAGCUCUUACUUCCAUGUUGUGGAAAACUGAUCUGACCUCCUAGUCCUGAAUCAGGGGCCAUAAAGAAAAUUGAUGAGGACAACUGGCCUCCCAGUAUGUGGAUUCAGUUUCCAUAUGUCAAUUUACCAACUCCCACUGGUAGUCUGAAGAGAUAUGGCUACUGGAGAACAGAAAAUCACCAGUAUUAAUAAAAGCAAUUUUAAGUGUUUACCUUUUAGUAUUUGAAUAGCUUUGUUAAAGAGACGUACUCAAGAAUACUAUGAAGAGACUCUUAUUGUACUCCUUACCUGGAGAUAAUUGUGAUGCCAGAAAUUCAAAUUUAUAUUCAACAAUAUGGUUUUUCAACCAUCAAUAUUAUAAACAUCUAGGCAGUGUCUAUUGUUUGCGCAUUUGCCAUCCUCUAAAAUGAGAUUAUUCUAAGCAUAAAUUAUACUUCAUCAUUCAAGAUUAUAAACAUUUAUAAUAAUCAUAAUAUUCACAGACAUUUCCCUGCUCUCAAAUCACUAGAGCUAAUAGGCAAAGUAGAUACAGCUACAAACAGUGGGAGAAAAUAUUUCUGGCUGACCUACAAAUAGCUGUGCAAUAAUGUAGAGAGGAAAAUAUAGUCUCACUUACAGUGUCUGAAAUUGAGUUUCCCUCUUUAAAGGACAAAGUAAUUUUCAAAAAUAUUUGAGUAUUAUUCUGUGUAAAAAAUCUCUGUUUUAACUGGCUUAUUGAAUUGUAUUUCUUUAUUGUGUUUGUAUUCACUUUUCCAUUUGUGGGUGGAAUUUAUUAUAAUUACCAGUUUUAUACUGAAUGAAACAAAAAUCUCAUAGAUUUAAUAAAACUUUAAAUUCCUUGUCAUUAAUAAUAAAAUGUAUAUGCUUUCUCUAAUAAGUCCAUACUUUAUUGUUUAAAACCUGUUUUUCCUCUUUCUCAAGCACAUGGAUUGUUAAUUUAAAUUCUGAAAUAAAGCCAAUUAAUCCAUAAACAUGGACUGUGGAUAAUGUCGAUAUUACAUGUAAAUUUCUCAGUGUGUGUUUCGUGGACCCAAUAGCAUCAGCAUUAGCUGGGGACUUACGAGGUGGCCUGUGCCUGUAGUCCCAGCUACUCAGGAGGCUGAGGCAGGAGAAUCGCU
rnacentral:lncRNA from 1 species